UACGAAGGGGGCUAGCGUUGCUCGGAAUCACUGGGCGUAAAGCGCACGUAGGCGGAUUGUUAAGUCAGGGGUGAAAUCCGGGAGCUCAACUCCAGAACUGCCUUUGAUACUGGCGAUCUCGAGUCCGGGAGAGGUGAGUGGAACUGCGAGUGUAGAGGUGAAAUUCGUAGAUAUUCGCAAGAACACCAGUGGCGAAGGCGGCUCACUGGCCCGGUACUGACGCUGAGGUGCGAAAGCGUGGGGAGCAAACAGG
rnacentral:rRNA from 1 species